rnacentral:rRNA from 1 species
AGUGAACGCUGGCGGUAGGCCUAACACAUGCAAGUCGAACGGCAGCACAGUAAGAGCUUGCUCUUACGGGUGGCGAGUGGCGGACGGGUGAGGAAUACAUCGGAAUCUACUUUUUCGUGGGGGAUAACGUAGGGAAACUUACGCUAAUACCGCAUACGACCUACGGGGGAAAGCAGUGGAUCUUCGGACCUUGCGCGAUUGAAUGAGCCGAUGUCGGAUUAGCUAGUUGGCGGGGUAAAGGCCCACCAAGGCGACGAUCCGUAGCUGGUCUGAGAGGAUGAUCAGCCACACUGGAACUGAGACACGGUCCAGACUACUACGGGAGGCAGCAGUGGGGAAUAUUGGACAAUGGGCGCAAGCCUGAUCCAGCCAUACCGCGUGGGUGAAGAAGGCCUUCGGGUUGUAAAGCCCUUUUGUUGGGAAAGAACAGCAGCAGGUUAAUACCCCGCUGUUCUGACGGUACCCAAAGAAUAAGCACCGGCUAACUUCGUG